ensembl:lncRNA
UUUUUCUUUCUCAGCAGGUGAUCCAGGUGAUUGAUAUAUGCAUUUUUUUUCUCUGCCCGUUCUGUUGGUUUUUGUCUUUUGCCCUUCUCCCCCGUCCCUCUUCUCAGCUGUUUCUCUUUCCCUCUUUCUUUCUCCCCUUCUUUCCCCCAGUCAAGUCUGUCCCGUAUUCAGCAAGUGAAAAUAAAAUAAACAAUAAAAGGGUCAGAGUGUGCCUACCAUAGAGGGGCUCUUCCUCCGGUUUCUUCUCCUCCUCCUCUUCUUCGUUCCUCCUCAUCACCACAUAAAUGUUCUCCUCCUUCUCCUCCUCCUGACCUGUGAGCAGAUUAUCACUCAGUCAGGUCUCCUUAUCAACGAUCUGCUGUGGAGCCAGAGCUGUCUCUGAUUGGCUGCCAUACCUGUGGUUUUCUUCCUCUGAACCCUCCUCUUCCUCAGGAUGAAGACCACGAUGAAGAAGAGCAACAGAACCAGCAGGACGACGCAGACGGACACUGAAGACACCACAUGGCUGCUGCUGCGGUCUGAGGACACAGAGACACAGCUGAUCUUCACAUCACAGCUGAUGACGUCAUGUGGUGGCAGAGGGAGCAGCUGAACAUCAGCAGCUCUCCUGGUCUGAGUUUCUUAGGUGCUUACACCGUGGUUGUGAAGCAGCAUUAGUUAUACAGCAUGUCUUUAUCCUGUCUUCCUUCCCUCACCCCAACCAAUCACAGCAGAUGGCCCCGCCCCUCCCUGAGCCUGGUUCUGCCGGAGGUUUCUUCCUGUUAAAAUCAUGCAAAUGGUCCAGAAUGCUGCUGCUCGCCUGCUGACAGAGACAAACGUGAGCACAUUACCCCUGUUCUUGCCUCUGUCCACUGGUUGCUUGUCCAUCUUAGAAUUCAUUUGAAAAUUUUAUUGUUUGCUUUUAAAGAUUUAAAUGGCCUGGCUCCUUCUUACCUGUCAGACCUUCUACACCUGUCUCUCAGAUUCAGCUGACCAGUCGCUCAUCGCUGUCCCCAUGACUAGAUUGAAACACCGGGGCACUGAGCUUUCACUGUUGUGGCCCCCAGAUCAUGGAAUAAGCCCCCUCCAUAUUAGGUUGGCCCCAACACUUGAAAUCUUCAAAUCACUUUUCAAAAACAACUUUUUUCUGAGGCUUUUUAGGAGUCAUAGUCAGCUUGUAGUCAGUCUUAGUCAGAUUUUGGUUUCUUUUAAUCUUCUUUACUUAGUUAAUUCUAUUUAUUGUAUAUUUUAUUCAUGAAUUAAUAUUUAAUGAUUCAUUUUUAUUUUUUUCAUGUAUUUAUUUAUUUUGUUAUUUAAUUUUAUUUGUCUGUCUAAUGUAUGGUUUUAAAAUCUGACUGUUUUUACUGGAAACCACUUUGGUCAACCGUGCUGUUUUUACAGUUUUCCCCCUUUAUCUCUUUUAUUGAGACAGCCAUGCUGUUUUUAAUCUGCUCUAUAAAUAAAGUUGGAUUGGAAGUACUGCAUGGUAGAAAUAUACCUGACUCUAAUAAUAUGUACUGCUUGGUGAAGUGACAUGUACAUAUGUACGUAUUUGUACACGUAUGACAGUAAAAGUGUGGUACUUUGUGUACCACCCUCCUGUGUCUUCAGUCUCUGCAGUGUGUUCCUCUCAGCAGGAUGUGAUGCAAUAACAAAGACAGGAAGUCUAAUGGCUCACCUGUCACCUGCAGCAGGAAGUCUUUGGUCUGCAGUCUCGACCCAGUCUUGUCAAACACCUCCAGCGUGUAGUUUCCGGAGUCUUGGGUCUGAAGUCGGCUGAACUCGAGCGAGCCGUCAGGGAGCAUCGAGCAGCGUCCGUGGGAGCACGUGCUCCGGUUCCAGUUCAGCAGCAGGUCAUGGAUCCAGAUCUCACGAUCGUCCUCCUCGGUUGAACCGGAGUGGGUCAAAGUGCUUCAGCGAACACUAUUUUAGGACGAGCAGCGUUCGAGUCAAAGACUUCCUUCAAAGCGGUGACGACAGGAAUCAGCGAGGAAACGGGACGAGUGUUUGGGAAGCUGUGGUGGACACGCCGGGAGUUUAAGGUUGGGGUAUCAGCUGAGAAAGCUCUGUGUGGACGUCCUUUGGUUCCUCAGACCUCGCCUGUUCCUGCUGGUGCUGAGCGUCGGUCGGUGGGGUUUAUAUCAGAAAAGCUGUAAAAUAAUAAAAUCCU